rnacentral:rRNA from 1 species
UACGAAGGGGGGCUAGCGUUGCUCGGAAUCACUGGGCGUAAAGGGCGUGUAGGCGGGAAGGAAAGUCAGAUGUGAAAUCCCCAGGCUCAACCUGGGAACUGCAUUUGAAACUCCCUUUCUUGAGUACCGGAGAAGAAAGUGGAAUUCCUGGUGUAGAGGUGAAAUUCGUAGAUAUCAGGAGGAACACCAGUGGCGAAGGCGGCUUUCUGGACGGUAACUGACGCUGAGACGCGAAAGCGUGGGGAGCAAACAGG